rnacentral:rRNA from 1 species
CCGAGGAGUCUAAUGCUCAUGCGAGGAGAAGGGUUUUAUCCCUGUAUCCGCAAUGAAAGUGAUUUUGAGCUGGAGCCCUUUGGGUGAACAGCAGCCGUCUCAUUUGAGAAAGGCAUAGUAUGAGUGUUAGGACCCGAAAGAUGGUGAACUAUGCAUGUGUAAGCUGAAGCCAGGGGAAACUCUGGUGGAGGGCUGUUGAGAUUCUGACGUGCAAAUCGAUCCUCUAACAUGUGUAUAGGGGCGAAAGACUAAUCNAACCAUCUA